rnacentral:rRNA from 1 species
GGUUAAGCGACUAAGCGUACACGGUGGAUGCCCUGGCAGUCAGAGGCGAUGAAGGACGUGCUAAUCUGCGAUAAGCGUCGGUAAGGUGAUAUGAACCGUUAUAACCGGCGAUUUCCGAAUGGGGAAACCCAGUGUGUUUCGACACACUAUCAUUAACUGAAUCCAUAGGUUAAUGAGGCGAACCGGGGGAACUGAAACAUCUAAGUACCCCGAGGAAAAGAAAUCAACCGAGAUUCCCCCAGUAGCGGCGAGCGAACGGGGAGGAGCCCAGAGCCUGAAUCAGUGUGUGUGUUAGUGGAAGCGUCUGGAAAGGCGCGCGAUACAGGGUGACAGCCCCGUACACAAAAAUGCACAUGCUGUGAGCUCGAUGAGUAGGGCGGGACACGUGGUAUCCUGUCUGAAUAUGGGGGGACCAUCCUCCAAGGCUAAAUACUCCUGACUGACCGAUAGUGAACCAGUACCGUGAGGGAAAGGCGAAAAGAACCCCGGCGAGGGGAGUGAAAAAGAACCUGAAACCGUGUACGUACAAGCAGUGGGAGCACAGAGCAAUCUGUGUGACUGCGUACCUUUUGUAUAAUGGGUCAGCGACUUAUAUUCUGUAGCAAGGUUAACCGAAUAGGGGAGCCGAAGGGAAACCGAGUCUUAACUGGGCGUUAAGUUGCAGGGUAUAGACCCGAAACCCGGUGAUCUAGCCAUGGGCAGGUUGAAGGUUGGGUAACACUAACUGGAGGACCGAACCGACUAAUGUUGAAAAAUUAGCGGAUGACUUGUGGCUGGGGGUGAAAGGCCAAUCAAACCGGGAGAUAGCUGGUUCUCCCCGAAAGCUAUUUAGGUAGCGCCUCGUGAAUUCAUCUCCGGGGGUAGAGCACUGUUUCGGCAAGGGGGUCAUCCCGACUUACCAACCCGAUGCAAACUGCGAAUACCGGAGAAUGUUAUCACGGGAGACACACGGCGGGUGCUAACGUCCGUCGUGAAGAGGGAAACAACCCAGACCGCCAGCUAAGGUCCCAAAGUCAUGGUUAAGUGGGAAACGAUGUGGGAAGGCCCAGACAGCCAGGAUGUUGGCUUAGAAGCAGCCAUCAUUUAAAGAAAGCGUAAUAGCUCACUGGUCGAGUCGGCCUGCGCGGAAGAUGUAACGGGGCUAAACCAUGCACCGAAGCUGCGGCAGCGACGCUUAUGCGUUGUUGGGUA